UUUGCACUGACUUUAGGGAGCCAGCCGCUUCCCGUGUUAGCACUCGGGUGCCAGGUGGCCAAAAACACGGGGCAAAGGUUUUCCUAGUUAAGUCGUGGUAUCCACAGCUGUAGCUCUGAGGAAGGAACAGGGCCAUUUGCGGCACUUCGUGCUGUGUGAAGGCAAGAUUUGCCCUCCAACUCUCGAACUCCCUUCUAUCCUGGGGGUGAGGGCGGGGAGCCUGCUCUUUCUCUCUCCCAAGCUUUAGUAGGAGAGGGAGAAGAGUGUGGGGCCCAGGCCUGGCCCAAGACCCGCUGAGGCAGGGCUGGUGAGGGUCUUGGUAACAGUCGCCGCAGGGUAAUUCGCAGCCUGUACUACAAGGACCCUGAGCAUUCCCCGGGCGGUACCUGAGCAGAUUAGGCCGAACAAACAACUUUCAUAUAGCCUCUGUCACAUUGGGCUAUAUUCCAAGGAUGAAGCCUGUGGUGUUCAAAUGUGGAAAUGGAGCUACAGAGAGCUAACUUUUUAAAUCCCUUGGUGCCCUAUCAUUGAUCCCUACACUGGAGAUUAACAUGGCAGGUCCCUGACUUUAGUCAUUUCCAUUUCACCCCUGUUGAGAUUCUGUCUCAUGAGUAACCUGACAGCCAGCUAGGCCCAACACAGUUUCAUGGGCUCACCACAUGUGAUCUUUUUGUCAUCAAGGGCCAGGCAAGUACCAUGACUUAAACAACAAAUUCUUCUGUAUUGGACAGGCUUUCUAGUCUGAGGACCAGAAGGGUGGGCUGAAUAGCCAUGUGCUGUAGUGUCUCUCCCUCUUUCCCAGCUGUCUGGCCAUGACUGAGGGACAGAUCUAAAGACUAACUAGGGAUGUUGCUAGCAUUGUAUGUAGCAUGUUAGGCAACAAUGAACUGGGCCACUUGGCUUCUCUCUCGGUGCAGUGUAAAUUAAAGAACAUACAAAUUAUUAGUCAAGGCUGCUGAAAAAAAAAGUUUUCAGUGUAGGACUGCAGAGGCCUUGUGAGAAGGUGAUUAAAGUUAUUUACAAAUACUUGGACUCACACCCAGUGUCUUGGUAGGAUUGUACAUCCCUAUCCAAUUAAGUUAGGUCUGGCCACUUUACCUGCUUGGAUCAGGGAGAUGUGAACAGCAGUGAAUUAUAGUGGGCACCUGGAGUUAGCAUAUGCUUCUCCAUAUUCACUUGUGACGACUACGGCUUCUCUGUCAUUCUGGGUUCCCAAGUUGUGCCUCCUUUCCCCACAACUAACUGUGGUGGACAUGUAGCAAGAGAAAGAUAUAAAAUUCUGUUAUUUUAGGCCAUUGAGAUAUAGGGGUAAUCUGCUACUGAUACAGACUAAUACACUACAAUAGGUCAUCUCAGCUAUGAGCAAAGGGAGAAGUGUGGGCAUGGAGCUAGGAAGAUGGAGCAGACCCAUCAAGGUGAAAUGAGCAAGUCUGUGUUGUUGGAGAGUGAAAAAGCUGGCCAAAUCAUCUGCACAAUGUCCCUUGCCCAGCAGUUCUGUGUGAAAACCAAAAUCAUGCUUGGAAUUUCCAGAUUUCUCCAGUGCUUGCGGUA